rnacentral:rRNA from 1 species
UACGUAGGCAGCAAACGUUGUUCGGAAUUACUGGGCGUAAAGAGUGUGUAGGCGGUCCUGUAAGUUUGGUGUGAAAUCUCCCGGCUUAACUGGGAGGGUGCGCCGAAAACUGCGGGGCUUGAGUGCUGGAGAGGAUGGCGGAAUUCCUGGUGUAGCGGUGAAAUGCGUAGAUAUCAGGAGGAACACCGGCGGUGUAGACGGCCAUCUGGACAGCUACUGACGCUGAGACACGAAAGCGUGGGGAGCAAACAGG